GAUGAAGAACGUAGCGAAAUGCGAUAAGUAAUGUGAAUUGCAGAAUUCAGUGAAUCAUCGAAUCUUUGAACGCAUCUUGCGCUCCUUGGUAUUCCUUGGAGCAUGCCUGUUUGAGUAUCAUGAGCAAAUCUCAAAGUCAAUUCCUUUUGUUAAUUCAAUUGGUUUUGCUUUGGACUUGGAGGUCUUGCAGAUUUCACAGUCUGCUCCUCUUAAAUGCAUUAGCUGGAUCUCAGUAAUUAUGCUUGGUUCCACUCGGCGUGAUAAGUAUCACUCGCUGAGGACACUGUUAAAAAGGUGGCCAGGAAAAUACUGAUUGAACCGCUUCUAACGGUCUAUUAAGUUAGACAAUUACCCUCAAGUUUGAUCUCAAAUCAGGUAGGACUACCCGCUGAACUUAAGCAUAUCAAUAAGCGGAGGA
rnacentral:misc_RNA from 1 species